rnacentral:tRNA from 1 species
GCAACGAAGACACUGCGCCCGUAGCUCAACGGAUAGAGCAUCUGACUACGGAUCAGAAGGUUGGGGGUUCGAAUCC